ensembl:lncRNA
AAAGCAUUGUUCUUAGUUCUCCAGGUGUUUAGAGAAAUUCUUGUACAGUUACGAACAGUGGUAGAUUAUUAAAUGUUGUAUUUGCAGAGAAUGUUGCUUGCAUAGCAAUUCUAUUAUAAAAUCGCAAAGCUUAGAAAGGGAAAUGAUUAACUAAAAUUGGUUCAUAUGAAUAAUUUCUGUCCUCCUUAUACAGAAGACCUGUGAAUCUUGCCUUUCUACAAAGAUUUUUCAAUGUAAAGUUUCAGAAAAUCAGGCUAAUAGGAUCAGUUCAGAUAAUUUGAGUGAUGACUAGAAAACCUUUUUAUUUUCUCUCUCGAUCUGCAGUGUCCUUGCUUACUUGAAUUAGUAUGCAUACAGUUAGGAUUAGAAUGGGGUUCUAGAUGGGUAAAGUAGAUUCACACUUUAAAAAAAAAAAAGUCAAGCAAAAAAAUAGCACUACUGCCAACUGAAUCUUCUGGUUUUUGACAUGCUUGCUUAUAUGGAAAGUUAUUGAAGACAAUAUGGAAGACUUAUGUCUUUGAAACAGCAUCAGGAUCAGAGCUGAAGUGAUGGCAAGCUGGAAACAGGCUGUAAUGAGCUGAAAAGAAGGAGCAUGAAGUGAAGUACACCUGUGGGCUCCAUGCUUGCAGCUGCCUGAGAUAGUCAUCCAAAUAUGCCACCCUGCCUCUACCAGCCUGCCAACAGAAGCAGUGUGUUCAUGCUGGGCUUUUCAGCUGUGUGGCAGUGCCACAUAGACCUUCUGUGACUCAGCCAAAGACGAAGUUCAUGUACAAGAAGUACAUCUCAGGUCUGGGUUUUCUUGUUUGGCUUUUUAUUCAUAGGUACAUAGCACCAAAAUGUUUCUUCUAAGUGUUCUUGCUGAAAGCUGUUCAAACGUGUAUUGUCUGGAAGAAGACUGACAAAAUUAUAACUUAGAGCUGUCAAGCUUUACC